UUUACCAUAUUUUUUUUUUUUUUUUUUUCUUUUUUCUUUUUUUUUUUU
rnacentral:ribozyme from 13 species